AGGAUCAUUGUCGAAACCUGCCAAGCAGAACGACCCGCGAACCCGUGGCAUGACAUGCUGGGCUCGGGGGGCACCCCUCGAACGGCAGGGAGACACCCCUCGCUCCCUCGGCACAACAACGAACCCCGGCGCGGACCGCGCCAAGGAAACUUAACAAGAGAGCGUGCCCUUGCCGCCCCGGAAACGGUGUGUGUGCUUGCAGCAUUGCCUUCUUUCACUAUUUAAAACGACUCUCGGCAACGGAUAUCUCGGCUCUCGCAUCGAUGAAGAACGUAGCGAAAUGCGAUACUUGGUGUGAAUUGCAGAAUCCCGUGAACCAUCGAGUCUUUGAACGCAAGUUGCGCCCCAAGCCGUUAGGCCGAGGGCACGCCUGCCUGGGUGUCACGCAUCGUUGCCCCCGCCAAACCCUUGUCCUCGGAAGAGACGGGUGGACUUGGCCGUGGGCGGAUAUUGGCCUCCCGUGUGCCGAACGGCCUGCGGUUGGCCUAAAUAUGAGUCGUCGGCGAUGGACGCCGUGACGUUCGGUGGUCAAAUAAACCUCGAGCUCCCGUUGCGCGUACGUCGUCGGUCUGAUAAGGCUCACUGACCCUGAAGCGUUGUCAAAAACGCACGCAUCGCGACCCCAGGUCAGGCGGGAUUACCCGCUGAG
rnacentral:rRNA from 1 species